ACCGUUUAUUCUGAGAAAUCUCUGUGGAUCGGUGCUAGUACCAAGCGUGAAUAAUAAUUAACCAAGGUAUGUGGGCCGUAGGCUACAACAAGUGAUCGGUUUAAUUUAUGUGAAUUAAGUUUAUAGGACAGAGGUCAGGAGCCCGUUCCGUCGUUGCAGCCUGAGUGCGCAUAAGUACAUAGACGGGGUGCUCCACGAGAGGAGUAUCACCGAAGUGAUCCUCCAACCUAAAAGGGGUACCCUUCGACCCCCCUCUACUGACGGAAACGCUGAGCACCGAAAACCUCUGACUUGGGUCAACUUUAUUGAGGCGUAGCAACCCUUAGGAAGCCCAGUGCAAAAGGGGGCGCCUCGGAAACUUUAUUCAACUCCAGUGAGAAGACCAGUUUGUCGCGCACUGUAGUGCCAAUGUAAGCUGCAGCUUGACCUGCAGUCGGAUGUUCCCCACUUAAGCCCAGUGUGAAGAAGACCAGAACAUUGGGCGUGAUUUUUGACGGGCAUGCCUACAGAGUAGCCGCCGCCGACGCUACAGAAAGAUGUCCGUAGUUGCUCUGUGUUAACUUACACAUUUUCGGGAUUUGAGUUAAUAUGCCUUUUUAAGGCCAAUUCUCUGACGGAGAUAUAUAGAUAUGUAUUUUUUUUUUGAGCAUCGGGAAUUAUGAGUGUUGGUAGAAAAGAGUGGAAACCAGCACCUACGUCAUCCAUGAGCUCAUCGAUUACGAAAGGAGUAAGGGUUUUAAAAUAUCAAAACCAAACGAAAACUGUGAGUUUGUAAACUU